AUUGAACGCUGGCGGCAGGCCUAACAUAUGCAAGUCGAGCGGAUGAAGGGAGCUUGCUCCUGGAUUCAGCGGCGGACGGGUGAGUAAUGCCUAGGAAUCUGCCUGGUAGUGGGGGAUAACGUCCGGAAACGGGCGCUAAUACCGCAUACGUCCUGAGGGAGAAAGUGGGGGAUCUUCGGACCUCACGCUAUCAGAUGAGCCUAGGUCGGAUUAGCUAGUCGGUGGGGUAAAGGCCUACCAAGGCGACGAUCCGUAACUGGUCUGAGAGGAUGAUCAGUCACACUGGAACUGAGACACGGUCCAGACUCCUACGGGAGGCAGCAGUGGGGAAUAUUGGACAAAGGGCGAAAGCCUGAUCCAGCCAUGCCGCGUGUGUGAAGAAGGUCUUCGGAUUGUAAAGCACUUUAAGUUGGGAGGAAGGGCAGUAAGUUAAUACCUUGCUGUUUUGACGUUACCAACAGAAUAAGCACCGGCUAACUUCGUG
rnacentral:rRNA from 1 species